UACGAAGGGAGCUAGCGUUGUUCGGAAUCACUGGGCGUAAAGCGCACGUAGGCGGAUGUGUCAGUCAGGGGUGAAAUCCCGGAGCUCAACUUCGGAACUGCCUUUGAUACAGCACGUCUUGAGUCCGGAAGAGGUGGGUGGAAUUCCUAGUGUAGAGGUGAAAUUCGUAGAUAUCUGGAGGAACACCGGUGGCGAAGGCGGCAUCCUGGACCGGCAUUGACGCUGAGGCGCGAAAGCCAGGGGAGCAAACGGG
rnacentral:rRNA from 1 species